CUGUCACCUGAUUUCUUUAUUUCUAAAGGUCUUCGAUCCUAUCUUCCCUCUUGUUUGAAAUAACUAGAGAAUAUUGUACUGAAACAUGGAAUAAUCUUCAUACUUUAAUAUUGGCUUUUCAAAACUAGAGUUGAAAGGAUUUUUCAAUUAAUAUAGAAGUUUUUCAGAAUAUCCUGAAACUCUGAAUAAUCUGUACAUGAAUUAGCAAAUCGUCUCAACAAUAUCUGGUUAAACAGCUUCUCUGCCUCCUCUAAUUCCUGACCAAGUACAAAUAUAGACAAAUAGCAGAUUUAGGAAAUCUAAGCUGUUCAGGCCAGGACAACACUCCCUAAGGCGUGAUGUAAUGUUGUCCCAACGGAAGCGUGGACAGCAUCCACUCUAACGUUAGCAUCCCCGGCAAUGGGACAGAAAAAGAGAUUUACAGAUUGAGACAGAAUAUAAGCAGACAAACACAUGACAAGAAGACACAGAAGGUGGAGAACAGGACCGUUUCCUUCAGUUUUUCUCCCACAGCCUGGUUCCUUAACAUUCAUUAACUGCAUCAACGUGAAGCGGGGAACCAGAGUGCAGGAUAUUUUCACAUAUGCCAAGAUUUUGACCCCUCAUCCUGAUCAUAUCUGUGGGUAUCUACAAAAUUUGUAAAGGAGAAACAGAUAAUUUUAAGGAUCCAUUUGAAGGUUCCACCAGUGACCCAGGACCUAUGGCACAAGCUCUGUACUCAGCUCUUUUUUCCUAUUCUGGAUGGGAUACACUGAAUCUUAUCACUGAGGAAAUGAAGAAUCCUGAAAGACAUUUGGUAAUAAGGUCUUCAACUAUGCUCAGUGGCUAAUUCCUCUUGCAGUCGCCAUGUCUGGUUUCAGUGGAUUAAAUUCAUCAAUCAUUGCAGCUUCCAGGGAUUGACAACGUUGCUUUAUCUCCUGGUGGAAGAUGUCUUUCAACUCAUAAACUACUACUCAUUCAGCUAUUAGCUAUUUGUUGGUCUACCAGUCUAUCUAUUGUGCCGCCUAGCUCUAAUUGAGCACAUGAUUCAUUUUAUUUCUUGUAGUAUAUUUCAUUCUUUGUUCCCCAUAGUGGUUCAUUUUCCCCCCAAAAAAAGGAAAGCUUAAUUUUAAUUAAAGGAUUUAUUUGGGGAAAUAAAGUACCAGUAGUUUUCUAAAAAGAAAUGAACCAAUAAAGGGUUCAUCAUCAGAGAUAAGGAAAGAAUUAAUAAAAGAACAUGAAGGAAUAUGCUAGAAUUCAAAAGGGGAUGGAAGGAAAAAUACGGGAAGAAGAAUAGAGGAAUAAGAUCGUGAAAUUGAAGAAGAAAAGAAGCCUAUAUUUCCUUCAAGAUGCCUUACGUACCAGAUAAUAUGGGCACAAAUACCUACAUGCCAUAUACUGUAGUUUCUUCAUUUCCUUAAACACUCCUAAUUAUUGAAUAAGAACCACCAAAAUAAAAAUAAAUUUCUAGGGAGAGAUAAAUGAUUUUGCUAGUUUCUUGCUCAGAUAUUCAGUUCAGUCUACUGCUUUCAUGCAUCAGUAAUGAGACUGAAAAAUGGGCAGUGUUUCGUAAUGAAAGCAGUGCUAGACUGAAAGUCAAGAGUCCUGCCUCUGACGCUCACCAGCCAUGUGACCACAUGCUAGUCACUUGCCUCAGGCACCUCUCUAACAGCAUAGCCUGUAAUCUCCCAGUUAUUUCUUCAUUCUGAGGAAUGGAUUCAUUUGUUUCCUCAUUAAUGACAUCACUUGUGUGGUAAGAUAGGAACACAGAUGGUCAUUUUUAGGGUGUCAUUUCUAAAGUUUAUCAGGAAAAAUAUACCUUUAAGUCUAAACUUCUUUGAGCAUACAGAACCCCUUUAGUAAUAACUAUGCAAAUUUGUACCCAGCUUUUGUUAAUAGAUUUAACAAUAACACUAGACCAUCCCAGUCUAUUUUUUUCUCAGAUUUCAGGGCAGGGGGAAUAUAAUAAAUGUGGCAAUAUAUUGACAAUCAAAUGAUUUAUAUUUCUUAAUUAUAAUGCACAUGUUGUCAUUCACAUUUUUUCUUAUCACCCAGUUAUCCCUACAUUUAAGUGCAGAUUAAAAAUUAAGUUAGAAAUGUCAGUGUUGACAAGGAUAAUUCAGGUCUAUACAUAGCCCUUGACUGAUGCACUUUUCAGUCAGUUCUUUUCAAGUUAUCUUCAGUGGCACCAUUGAUUAAUUUAACAGUUAUAAUCUAAAGUGGACAUGAGAGCUGCCCCAGUUUUAGGUCAAAACAUUUAUGGAUCCAUUGGGUUCUUCCCCUCAUUUAUACAACCAAUGUUAUAACCUACAUAGCAUUCAUUGGGACAUGAGUGAGAUCCUGUGGGGAGAAGAGAGGUAAGUAGCAGUUGGUAAUCUCCCUAUGCCUAUAAGCCCUUGAGAAACAUAGCAAUUUAAGGUUCUUUUUUCUCCUCUACUUAGUUUCUUUCAAUUUUUAUUUCCUUUUAAUACAAGCUCAGCCUGUUCUUUCCAGUGGUUUAUUGCCUGUGUACUCUCUUCCUGGUGAUUAUACCUCUCUACAGUGACACUAUUAAUUCUUUCACUGGAACUGGAAUCAGUUUGUCUGGAAUUCCUGCAUAUUUCUUGGGAGUACAUUUAUCAGCUAAGAAUUGACCUCCAUGUCUCCAAAGGCUCUAUGGUAAGAAAUAUGAGCUCAAAUUUCCUCUCAUCUCAUGAUUUGGUCUUUAAAAAUCCCAUUCUGAAAUAGCUAUUGGUAAAUGGAAAAUUCAUGCCUGGAUUAUUGCAAUAGCUUUCUGGUUGGUCUGCUUGCCUCGACUUUAUCCUGACUCAAGUAUAUUCUCCACUCUUCUGUCAAAUUGAUCUUCCCAAACUUCAGGACUGACCAUGUCUUAUUCCCACUCAAUAAAUUCCAGUGGCUCAACUAGAUAAAAUAUUAAAUCUUCUGUUUGGAAUUCAGAGUCAUCCAUAACCUGACCCCCUUCUACCUUUCCAGUCUUGUUAUAUCUCCCUUCUCCUACAUACUCUGCAAUCCACUGACACUGAGCAGUUCCUUGCACAAGACACACCAUCUCCUGACUCGGCUUUUUACUGGUUGUCUGCCACACAUAGAAUGCUCUCUCUCCUCAUCUUUGUCUCUUGACCUCCCUGGCUUCCUUUGGG